rnacentral:rRNA from 1 species
GAUGAGCGCUGGCGGCGUGCUUAACACAUGCAAGUCGAACGGAAAGGCCCAAGCUUGCUUGGGUACUCGAGUGGCGAACGGGUGAGUAACACGUGGGUGAUCUGCCCUGCACUUCGGGAUAAGCCUGGGAAACUGGGUCUAAUACCGGAUAGGACCACAUUUUGGAUGGUGUGGUGGAAAGUUUUUCGGUGUGGGAUGAGCUCGCGGCCUAUCAGCUUGUUGGUGGGGUAAUGGCCUACCAAGGCGUCGACGGGUAGCCGGCCUGAGAGGGUGUACGGCCACAUUGGGACUGAGAUACGGCCCAGACUCCUACGGGAGGCAGCAGUGGGGAAUAUUGCACAAUGGGCGCAAGCCUGAUGCAGCGACGCCGCGUGGGGGAUGACGGCCUUCGGGUUGUAAACUCCUUUCGCUAGGGACGAAGCGCAAGUGACGGUACCUGGAGAAGAAGCACCGGCUAACUACGUG